GACCCAAUGGCACAACGGUUAGUGCGCCUGCAACAUUUAACACAUUGGUCACUGUGUGCAGGAGGUCCUCGUUCGAUUCGGGGUAGGGCCA